rnacentral:rRNA from 1 species
GACGAACGCUGGCGGCGUGCCUAAUACAUGCAAGUCGAACGCUGAAGGAGGAGCUUGCUUCUCCGGAUGAGUUGCGAACGGGUGAGUAACGCGUAGGUAACCUGCCUGGUAGCGGGGGAUAACUAUUGGAAACGAUAGCUAAUACCGCAUAACAGUAGAUAUCGCAUGAUAUCUGCUUGAAAGGUGCAAUUGCAUCACUACCAGAUGGACCUGCGUUGUAUUAGCUAGUUGGUGAGGUAACGGCUCACCAAGGCGACGAUACAUAGCCGACCUGAGAGGGUGAUCGGCCACACUGGGACUGAGACACGGCCCAGACGCCUACGGGAGGCAGCAGUAGGGAAUCUUCGGCAAGGGACGGAAGUCUGACCGAGCAACGCCGCGGGAGUGAAGAAGGGUUUCGGAUCGUAAAGCUCUGUUGUAAGAGAAGAACGAGUGUGAGAGUGGAAAGUUCACACUGUGACGGUAGCUGACCAGAAAGGGACGGCUAACUACGUG